CAUUUCCUCUGGUGCGCCAUAAAUCAUCUCACACAUCCCUCCUAAAUCGUUUCCAACCUCAUCGACCAAAAUGCCUCGCCUCAUCUCCAAUCUCAUCUCAGAUUCAUCUCUGCGAUUAAACCCUAAAUCAUCUCCUCCAAUUGACCGAUUUCAUCUUCUAUUCCUUGAAAACUAGAUCGAUUGCAAGGUAUGAACUCGACCACAGUAUGGAUCUAUUAAUUAGGGUUUGCUCUAGUGAUUGGAGAUCUAAACAUCUUAUUCAAGUAGUAAUUAGCCAGUAUGGAUGAAUAUUAGGUAUUAUUUUAGUUGUUACAAAAGUUUCUUCUCUCUCUAAACUCGAUCCAUCCAGAAAUUGAUACGUUCGCUUCAGAAUCUCAUGGUUCCACCAUAUAUUGGUAGUGAAUUGGAUCUAUCAGUGAGGUUAUCAGUAAGAUCCUUUGGAACAGAAGGGCGAAAAAAAGAUGGUCCACAAGUACAUAAUAUUUCGCGGAAGUGAUAUCAAGGAUCUUCAGGUGAAAUCAUCUCAGCCUGUUCAACCCGUGCAGCCCAUUAACAGUGAUCCUGCCAUAAUUCAGUCUCAUUAUCCUCGGCCACCUGCACCAUCGUCAACCUUACCCGCUGUAGCUAGUGACCCUUCAUUCACUACCAGUACCUAUAACCCGCAUCUGGGUCAACCCGGGUCAA